UCGAGAUUCAUGAUGGUUGUGUUGACCUUUUUACCUUAACGUCCCCGAGUUUAACGCCACUGUUCUGCAGGAACGUGAGGAAGAUGCCUAGGCUCUCGUCUGUUGGCCGGUAAUGUCCACUAUAAGCUGAUACAGACUGGAAAAGGUCCUAAAUAGUUGAUGCAUUCUUGAUGGAGUCUUGAUCUCGGGCAUUCAUCAAGAUCAAGGGUUUUCCCAUCUCCGAUAUCCAACCUAAACGAGAUGGAUCCACCAAUCUUUCAUGCCUUGGAAGCAUUCCAGCUGAUCCUGCUCCACCGUGAAGAUGGUUUUUCGGGUUGGAUGAAGUUGAAGAAAGCUGUCGUGCUAUGGUUGAGACGAGCGUAUUCAAUUGCUUGCCACCUUCAUUUUCAUCAUCAGGUUAGAAACUCAUGUCCCUAUCAAAGAUUAUAAUAAAAAAUCCAUUGUGUGACAGGUUUCACCAGAGCUCUUCAGCUGCAACUGCUGAAUCUGCUAAUCUUCGACGCGUACGAUGACUCCGGUAAACCUUUUGCAGCUUCACAGCAGCCUUUGUGGACUCAUGAUCAAUCUCUUGAGAUGUGGGAGAAGUUUGGUUGCUGAGAUCCAUUUGUUGAUUCAUUCUACAACAGAAGCUAUGAACAAGAUCAUGUCAAAUACUUAGGUAGUUAGAUACUGAAAUCAUUUAUUGAUGGGUUACACCAGCUCAUAGAUUUGAAUGUAUUUAAAUGUUGAGAUAGAUCAAAGUUGUCAAGAAGCAACAAACAAAA